rnacentral:lncRNA from 1 species
CAGUGUUUUCCUUUUUUCACUAAGGUAAGGUGGGUGUUUUAAAAAAAUAACUUGCAACCGGGUGGGUUUUUAAUGUCCAACCUUUUUUAAUUUACUGUGGGUGCACGUGGGGGUCACAGAAAUAAAGAUGAGUAUAAUAUUCACAUUUAAUGGAGUUGAACAAACAUAAAUAGAAGUAGUCAUAUUAAUUGUCAAAUAUUCUUUGAUUUUAUUUUUUAAAAAAUUAUAUCUUUUGUCUCUUCUUUCAUUUACAAAUUUAUGCAUCAGCAUGGAUUUAAGGCCUUUCGGUCCAGGUUUCCGUCCUGUUUCUUGCUUUUGUGCCGUAUUUUUGGCAAACAGAACAGUAGUAUCCUUCCUCUGUGACUAUAAGUCAUUUGAAGUGUUGCUCAUAUUUGUCUUCACUUGCGUGUCUUUUCUGUUGUUUGGUUGAUUUUUGUUCAAUUUCCACAACUUCAACAUAACUAUCAAUUUUAUUUAACUUAUUUGGUCUAGUAUUUUCUUUAUCAUCAUCGUCAUCUGCCUUUCUUUUCCCCCGAUUGAUUAAUGAAAACAUUGAAAUUUGGAGCUCGAAAUUUGACAAUUGGACGCCAUCUUUGUCAAUGAAAACAAGGCGGGAUUAGUAUUCAAAUUUUAACGGUACGGAACCGAAAAAAAUCCGGAUUUUGAAAAAAAAGCAGACCACCUCCUAAAAUCGAAAGGUGGUCGGCUUUCAAAAGAAGGUGGUCGGCACACCCGGCUUAAAUGCCGAAUGGAAAACACUGUAU